GCCAACGCUUUAGCGCCACCAUCUGGUCAAAUUUGGGCCUAAUUCGGAAGUACUUUUAUAGUCAGAACUUUUGAACCCUGUGUCCAAAAUUUUAAAUACAGCCAUUCCUGAGUUGAGGAUUCCCCUGGUCUAGCCAAGUUCAACGCACCCUAUGACAUCAAUUCCCACCUAAUUAGAUUUUCCGCCAUCUUGGAUUUUGUCAAAACCUGUUUUUCUUCUAUUAUUAUUAUCAUUAUUAUUAUAUUUAUUAUUAUUAUUAUUAUUAUUAUUAAGUUAACGGGAGUGCACGCUCGAGCGUCGUUCCCAGCACCCCGCCUCUUCCUCGCUCCUCCUCUCCGCGGCGCUCGAGAUGACUCUCCCCGUCUGCUGCCACGUAAUCCCGUUGAAAUCGGCGCACGAGCUCCGCGGACACAAGCGCUCAAGCGGAAGCCGACACUUUCAUUACCGACUGAAGAACUUAAACUACCGGCCGUCCAUACACACACACACACACACACACACACACACAAAGAAAUCUAGCUGCGCGUGAACGGCGUUAUGUACACGGAGGCUGUUAGAGGGUCACGAGUGUGCGAUUUAUCCGCAGCUGUAAACAACUCGCCGUGUGUGUGAGCGUGUGCGCCAGGACUUGCAGAUGCCAUGCGUCAGCUGAAGGGCAAGCCGAGGAAGGAGUCGUGGAAGGAUAAGAAGGAGCGGAAGCAGGCGAUGCAGGAGGCGCGCGAGCAGGUGGCUACCGUUGUCCUGCCGACGCUCGCCGUCCUCAUCCUCCUCAUCGUCCUCUUCGUCUACGUCGCCACCCGACCCGGAGCCGUCCAGUAGCCAUCCCUUCCCUUAUUCCCUCUUUCUACACCUGGCUAUUUAUACAUGGUGCAUUCUAGUCCUGUAUUUAACUCGCCCUCGUCCGCUUUCCCUUGUUUCUGUCAACUAGUUACUAGUUAAUAUGUUGAAAUAACGAAAGUGGUUGCUAAUCAAUCCCAUAAUACUCCACGGUGCAGAGCAAUGUCAAUUCCCAUGGCAUAUAACAAAGCAUUUGGGCUUAAGUGCCCUACAUCCUAUACAGUACGAGUGUAUAAUAGCUUGAAUGAAAUGGAUCAUACAAAGUGAGGUUAAGUCGACAAGGGCGCAUUAAAAACAGGAUUGGGACGCACAAUUAAUAUUUAAAAGCAUUUAAUUCUCCAAGGAGAUAACUCUCAGCUACAUUGCUCCUGCUGUCGAGGUCAAGAAUAUACCUCUCCUAGUGCUACAAGUGCAGGGGAAGGCAACGAGGACACCAUCGAAAUCGGUAUUGGAACACAACCCCCACUUCCCUUCCUCCCUCUAAACCCCUGGAUGUCCAUUUCAACAAACUCGAAUCAAGCAGGGCCAUUUCCUCCAGCCAGCAUGUGACGAGGUGAAACAGGCCGCCAUUUUGGCUCUGCCAAAGCUUGAACCUUAUGCUUUUGGCGGCCAUGUUGGCCCCGUAUUGUGUUUACAGGGUUUCAGUUUCAUGCCAAAGCAACCGAGAUUCAGGAAUUGCAUCAGGACCUGUGAGGAACGUUCCAAACAUCAGGAAUGAACCGAAGUGUGUACACACACACACACACACACACACACACACACUGUAUUAAUCAUACACUGAUAAACUCGCAAGCAGUUCAAGGAGAUGCCAAAACACACGUUUUUUUUCUGUGAAAUACCAUCAACAGCAUUUACAAUUCAGAUAUGGUUGAAAAUGUUUUAUUUUUUUAUCACGAAGCUACAACUGAUAAGUCAUUUCCCUAAUUUAACACACUCAUAAUUUAUGUCUGUGUCCCAAACGCUAGUUCGCCGACUAGUUAGUGUUCGCUAACAUUACACUAGCUUUAUUAUCUUUAACAAAACGUAGUUAGCUUUAUUAUGGUUAACGUAGGUUAUAUUCCUCUGUAACGUAAAGUUAUCAUUUACAUAAAGUUAGCUUUACUGUCCUUAACAUGAAGUUAGAGGUCGUGUGUUUAGCUUCAUCUUGUCGUUGGUCAGAAUUUACCUCAGGGUGCUGUUUCAUGUCUUAUUAACGAGGUAGUAUUUUGGAACACCAUCUCAAAUCACACGUUAUUUCUUUAAAUAAAUUCAUACACCAGCGUUUGGGACACAGUCCGUGUGUGUGUGGAGUGUAUUGUGUUAGCAUUGAAGCUAAUCUCUGAGCUUCAGGGAAACUGGGUCUUUUCUGUUGCAGUGUUCACACACAAAACACCAUUUUAUCCCCAAAACGUUCCUGUUCUAAUGUAAACACCACUUUUACAUGAAACUACGUUGAACACAUGAAAAUAAGCAUGUUAAUAUUUGUAGCUAUGGUGUAUAUGUGAAGUUUGGAUGAAAUGUGCUGAAGAUGAGGAUGUUUUUAGGACAUCUGUUGCACUCGAUAAGACCAGCAGGCCAAAGCGUUUAAGAAACGUGCUAAUGCUAACUCUCUCAGCGCUCGCUCAUAGCCAUCCUUGAGUGUAAUGUGAUUUAGAAAACCGUCAGUGUUGAGAAACAGCGUCCCCUGCUGGGCGUAAUUAACUAUAUCUCUACACACUUCCCUUCAGGCAAUGUUCCUCCUGUGAUUAACGGAAACAACUUGCUUUCUUUUUGCUUUAACAGCGUUCAGCAGCUGACUGAAUAUUAGAACUUGCCAGAAGUGUAUGAAAAGCAGAAUAUUAAGAGCACUCAUGGUUUAAAAGUCCCAGUUUAUGAUAGUCAGUACCAAAAAUAUUGGGACGCGUCGUAAACACGAUCGUCGUCCCAUUCUCACGUUAUUCUUAGUAAAGCAUUUGCAUUUUAUUUCUGCACAUAAGUGGACCUGCAAACCAAAUCUGAAAUCAUUGUGCCUUGAUCAGAUGUGUGUAUGGAUGUGUUCCCACGACAAAGUGUGUGUAUAUUAAUGUUCACAGCAGCCAGCAACACACACACACACACACACACAUAUAUAUACAUAGAUAUACACACACACACACACAAAUUCUUUAGCUAGCCUUCAGUUAGCAAUGUGCCUUAGGAAUCUAUUAAAAACUAUAUUUUAAAAAAGUGA